AGAGUUUGAUUAUGGCUCAGGGUGAACGCUGGCGGCGUGCCUAACACAUGCAAGUCGAGCGGGUACCCGCAAGGGUACCAGCGGCGCACGGGUGAGUAACACGUGGGUAAUCUACCCCUCGGAGGGGGAUAACCGGGGGAAACUCCGGCUAAUACCCCAUACGAUCCAACAACACAAGUUGUUGGAUGAAAGGAGCGUUGCUCCGCCGAGGGAUGAGCCCGCGGCCCAUCAGGUAGUUGGUGGGGUAAUGGCCCACCAAGCCUACGACGGGUAGCCGGCCUGAGAGGGUGGUCGGCCACAAGGGCACUGAGACACGGGCCCUACUCCUACGGGAGGCAGCAGUGGGGAAUCUUGGACAAUGGGCGAAAGCCUGAUCCAGCGACGCCGCGUGGGGGAUGAAGCCCUUCGGGGUGUAAACCCCUGUUGCGAGGGAGGAAUAAGGCCUGGAGGAAAUGCCAGGCCGAUGACUGUACCUCGCGAGGAAGCCCCGGCUAACUACGUGCCAGCAGCCGCGGUAAUACGUAGGGGGCGAGCGUUACCCGGAUUCACUGGGCGUAAAGCGGGUGUAGGCGGCUCGGUAAGUCGGGUGUGAAAUCCCACAGCUCAACUGUGGAAUUGCGCCCGAAACUGCUGAGCUUGGGGCCGGUAGAGGGAGACGGAACUGCCGGUGUAGGGGUGAAAUCCGUAGAUAUCGGCAGGAACGCCGGUGGGGAAGCCGGUCUCCUGGGCCGCGCCCGACGCUGAGACCCGAAAGCUAGGGGAGCAAACCGGAUUAGAUACCCUGGUAGUC
rnacentral:rRNA from 1 species